GCAGUAGCCGCGGUAAUACGAAGGGGGCUAGCGUUGUUCGGAAUCACUGGGCGUAAAGCGCACGUAGGCGGAUUUUUAAGUCAGGGGUGAAAUCCCGAGGCUCAACCUCGGAACUGCCUUUGAUACUGGAGAUCUUGAGUUCGGAAGAGGUUGGUGGAACAGCUAGUGUAGAGGUGAAAUUCGUAGAUAUUAGCUAGAACACCAGUGGCGAAGGCGGCCAACUGGUCCGACACUGACGCUGAGGUGCGAAAGCGUGGGGAGCAAACAGGAUUAGAUACCCCCGUAGUCCCUGUCUCUUAUAC
rnacentral:rRNA from 1 species